AAAGCCGGUCAGACAACCGCUGCCGCGCAAGCGGGAGAGGAAAGUCCGGGCUCCACAGAGCAGGAUGCCGGCUAACGGCCGGACGCCGCGAGGCGAGGAACAGGGCCACAGAGACGAGCGUAUUAAGUUACGGUGAAACGCGGUAACCUCCAUCCGG
rnacentral:RNase_P_RNA from 1 species